rnacentral:rRNA from 1 species
UACGUAGGGUGCAAGCGUUGUCCGGAUUUAUUGGGCGUAAAGAGCUCGUAGGCGGCUUGUCGCGUCGGAUGUGAAAGCCCGGGGCUUAACUCCGGGUCUGCAUUCGAUACGGGCAGGCUAGAGUUCGGUAGGGGAGAUCGGAAUUCCUGGUGUAGCGGUGAAAUGCGCAGAUAUCAGGAGGAACACCGGUGGCGAAGGCGGAUCUCUGGGCCGAUACUGACGCUGAGGAGCGAAAGCGUGGGGAGCGAACAGG